rnacentral:rRNA from 1 species
GAUGAACGCUGGCGGCGUGCCUAAUACAUGCAAGUCGAGCGAACGGACGAGAAGCUUGCUUCUCUGAUGUUAGCGGCGGACGGGUGAGUAACACGUGGAUAACCUACCUAUAAGACUGGGAUAACUUCGGGAAACCGGAGCUAAUACCGGAUAAUAUUUUGAACCGCAUGGUUCAAAAGUGAAAGACGGUCUUGCUGUCACUUAUAGAUGGAUCCGCGCUGCAUUAGCUAGUUGGUAAGGUAACGGCUUACCAAGGCAACGAUGCAUAGCCGACCUGAGAGGGUGAUCGGCCACACUGGAACUGAGACACGGUCCAGACUCCUACGGGAGGCAGCAGUAGGGAAUCUUCCGCAAUGGGCGAAAGCCUGACGGAGCAACGCCGCGUGAGUGAUGAAGGUCUUCGGAUCGUAAAACUCUGUUAUUAGGGAAGAGCAUAUGUGUAAGUAACUGUGCACAUCUUAACGGUACCUAAUCAGAAAGCCACGGCUAACUACGUG